CACGUAGUUAGCCGAGGCUUCUUAGUCAGGUACCGUCUUGUCUCGUUCCUGCUGAUAGAGCUUUACAUACCGAAAUACUUCUUCACUCACGCGGCGUCGCUGCAUCAGGGUUUCCCCCAUUGUGCAAUAUUCCCCACUGCUGCCUCCCGUAGGAGUUUGGGCCGUGUCUCAGUCCCAAUGUGGCCGUCCACCCUCUCAGGCCGGCUACUGAUCGUCGCUUUGGUAGGCCGUUACCCUGCCAACUGGCUAAUCAGACGCGGGUCCAUCCCAUACCACGGAGUUUUUCACGCAGGAGCAUGCGCUCCCGUGCGCUUAUGCGGUAUUAGCACCUGUUUCCAGGUGGUAUCCCCCGGUAUGGGGCAGGUUACCCACGCGUUACUCACCCGUCCGCCACUAAGAUACUCAUUUCCAAAGUGCAAGCACUCCUUCCAUAAGCAUCCCCGUUCGACUUGCAUGUGUUAAGCACGCCGCAGCGUUCAUCCUGAGCCAGGCUACAAACUU
rnacentral:rRNA from 1 species